CAAGGAGGAGGAGGAGGAGGGCUCGCGAGGAGGAGGAGAAGGAGGCACAGUCCGGAUCCUGCCUUCUCUACUGCCCCCCAAGGGCCCUUCUGGUCUGCCUGAACUUUGGCGCUGCAGAAACACCAGGUGAAGAACAGGACAAAAAGAAGAUGGAAAGAACUGAAACAGGAAAAGAGAAAAUUUGAAAUCAAAGGAGACAAUAAAGGACACCAGAGAAGCUAAUUUUUAAAAAAAUGGAAAGGAGAAAUCCUGUGCUUCUCUGGCUGCGAUACUGCUGA